rnacentral:rRNA from 1 species
UAGGGAAUAUUGCACAAUGGGGGAAACCCUGAUGCAGCGACGCCGCGUGAAGGAAGAAGUAUCUCGGUAUGUAAACUUCUAUCAGCAGGGAAGACAAUGACGGUACCUGACUAAGAAGCCCCGGCUAACUACGUGCCAGCAGCCGCGGUAAUACGUAGGGGGCAAGCGUUAUCCGGAUUUACUGGGUGUAAAGGGAGCGUAGACGGAUCUGCAAGUCUGGAGUGAAAGCCCGGGGCGUCAACCCCAGGCAGCUGCUUUGGAAUGACUGUGGAUCUGGAGUGCCGGAGAGGUAAGCGGAAUUCCUAGUGUAGCGGUGAAAUGCGUAGAUAUUAGGAGGAACACCAGUGGCGAAGGCGGCUUACUGGACGGUAACUGACGUUGAGGCUCGAAAGCGUGGGGAGCAAACAGGAUUAGAUACC